GGAUCAUUAAAGAGUUUAAUAAAACUCCUAAACCCCUGUGAACUCACUAUGUUGGAUUCUCGCCAGAGAUAGUCUGGUUUCUGCUUCGCGGAUCGCCUGCCCGUGACACCUGUCACAGGUAGGUAUGCUUCUGCCGCGGGUCCGCAGGUAAAUCGUCUGUUUCACAAGGGACGGCGAUUUUACCUGUGGAAGAGGUCCGCUAACUAUAUUCUUAGUAUAGUUUGUUCACUAGAUCAAACAUUCUGAAUAAAAACUUAAACUAGUUAAAACUUUCAACAACGGAUCUCUUGGUUCUGGCAUCGAUGAAGAACGCAGCGAAAUGCGAUAAGUAAUGUGAAUUGCAGAAUUCAGUGAAUCAUCGAAUCUUUGAACGCACAUUGCGCCCAUUAGUAUUCUAGUGGGCAUGCCUGUUCGAGCGUCAUUUCAACCCUUAAGCCUCUGUUGCUUAGCGUUGGGAGCCUACAGCCUGCUGUAGCUCCUUAAAGGUAGUGGCGGAGUCGGUUCACACUCUAGACGUAGUAAAAUCUUUAUCUCGCCUAUAGAUGAGCCGGCGCCUUGCCGUAAAACCCCUACUCUUUCACAAGGUUGACCUCGGAUCAGGUAGGAAUACCCGCUGAACUUAAGCAUAUCAAUAAGCGGAGGAAAAGAAACCAACAGGGAUUGCCCUAGUAACGGCGAGUGAAGCGGCAACAGCUCAAAUUUGAAAUCUGGCCUUCGGGUCCGAGUUGUAAUUUGCAGAGGAUGCUUUGGGCGCGGUGCCUUCCGAGUUCCCUGGAACGGGACGCCUUAGAGGGUGAGAGCCCCGUACGGUUGGACACCAAGCCUCUGUAAAGCUCCUUCGACGAGUCGAGUAGUUUGGGAAUGCUGCUCUAAAUGGGAGGUAAAUUUCUUCUAAAGCUAAAUAUUGGCCAGAGACCGAUAGCGCACAAGUAGAGUGAUCGAAAGAUGAAAAGCACUUUGAAAAGAGGGUUAAAUAGCACGUGAAAUUGUUGAAAGGGAAGCGUUUGCGACCAGACCUUUUCCCAGCGGAUCAUCCGGUGUUCUCACCGGUGCACUUCGCUGGGUUGAGGCCAGCAUCGGUUUCCGCAGGGGGAUAAAAGCCUGGGGAACGUAGCUCCCUCGGGAGUGUUAUAGCCCCUCGCAUAAUACCCUUGCGGGGACCGAGGACCGCGCU
rnacentral:rRNA from 1 species